rnacentral:rRNA from 1 species
UUAACGGSCGCGGUAUCCUGACCGUGCGAAGGUAGCAUAAUCGCUUGUCUUUUAAAUAAAGACUAGAAUGAAUGGCUAAACGAGGUUCUAUCUGUCUCUUACAAACAAUCAGUGAAAUUGAUCUACUCGUGCAAAAGCGAGUAUUUUCCCAUAAGACGAGAAGACCCUGUGGAACUUUAAGAACUAAUCAGCCUUCAUGUAAUACUACACCCCACGGGACCACAUCAAAUUUUCCCCUGAUUAUUACUUUCGGUUGGGGCGACCUCGGAGUACAAGAAACCCUCCGAAGAUAGGACAAAAUCCACACCAAGAAUCACACCUCAAAGUACUAGCAAGUAAAAACGAUCCAAUAAAUUUGAUCAACGAACAAAGCUACCCCAGGGAUAACAGCGCAAUCCCCUUUCAGAGUUCAUAUCAACAAGGGGGUUUACGACCUCGAUGUUGGAUCAGGACAUCCUAAUGGUGCAUCAGCUAAUAAGGGUUC